rnacentral:rRNA from 1 species
CAUUACUGUUGAGGGGGGCUUGCCCCCCGAACACACACCCUUGAUUUUCGAGUACCUCUGUUUCCUCGGCGGCUCCGCCCGCCAAUGGGGACCCUUAAAAACCUUUUUGCAAUAGCAGUAUCCUCUGAUGAACAAAGCAAAAGUCAAAACUUUCAACAACGGAUCUCUUGGUUCUGGCAUCGAUGAAGAACGCAGCGAAAUGCGAUAAGUAGUGUGAAUUGCAGAAUUCAGUGAAUCAUCGAAUCUUUGAACGCACAUUGCGCCCUUUGGUAUUCCUUAGGGCAUGCCUGUUCGAGCGUCAUUUAAACCCUCAAGCACAGCUUGGUGUUGGGUGUCUGUCCCCCCGGACCGGGGGGACUCGCCUCAAAUGCAUUGGCAGCCGGCACGUUGGCUUCGAGCGCAGCAGAUAAGCGCCCGGCGUCUGGCGGUGGCGGCUCUCCAGCAAGGAAACCCACUAUUUUGACCUCGGAUCAGGUAGGGAUACCCGCUGAACUUAAGCAUAUCAAUAAGCGGAGGAAAAGAAACCAACAGGGAUUGCCCUAGUAACGGCGAGUGAAGCGGCAACAGCUCAAAUUUGAAAUCUGGCUCCUUUGGCGCCCGAGUUGUAAUUUGUAGAGGGUGCUUUGGCGUGAGU